GUUAAAAAGCUCGUAGUUGGAUUUCGGUUGAGAACGGCCGGUCCGCCGUUUGGUGUGCACUGGCUGGUUUCAACUUCCUGUAGAGGACGCGCUCUGGCUUCACGGCUGGACGCGGAGUCUACGUGGUUACUUUGAAAAAAUUAGAGUGUUCAAAGCGGGCUUACGCUUGAAUAUUUCAGCAUGGAAUAACACUAUAGGACUCCUGUCCUAUUUCGUUGGUCUCGGGACGGGAGUAAUGAUUAAGAGGAACAGUUGGGGGCAUUCGUAUUUCAUUGUCAGAGGUGAAAUUCUUGGAUUUAUGAAAGACGAACUUCUGCGAAAGCAUUUGCCAAGGAUGUUUUCAUUAAUCAAGAACGAAAGUUGGGGGCUCGAAGAUGAUUAGAUACCAUCCUAGUCUCAACCAUAAACGAUGCCGACUAGGGAUUGCAGGAUGUUAAUUGAUGACUCCUGCAGCACCUUAUGAGAAAUCAAAGUUUUUGGGUUCCGGGGGGAGUAUGGUCGCAAGGCUGAAACUUAAAGGAAUUGACGGAAGGGCACCACCAGGCGUGGAGCCUGCGGCUUAAUUUGACUC
rnacentral:rRNA from 1 species